GCCGGGCGUGGUAGCUCACGCCUGUAAUCCCAGCACUUUGGGAGGCCGAGGCGGGCGGAUCACCUGAGGUCAGGAGUUUGAGACCAGCCUGACCAACAUGGUGAAACCCCGUCUCUA
rnacentral:SRP_RNA from 1 species